rnacentral:rRNA from 2 species
AAAUUGAAGAGUUUGAUCAUGGCUCAGAUUGAACGCUGGCGGCAGGCCUAACACAUGCAAGUCGAACGGUAACAGGAAGCAGCUUGCUGCUUUGCUGACGAGUGGCGGACGGGUGAGUAAUGUCUGGGAAACUGCCUGAUGGAGGGGGAUAACUACUGGAAACGGUGGCUAAUACCGCAUAACGUCGCAAGACCAAAGAGGGGGACCUUCGGGCCUCUUGCCAUCAGAUGUGCCCAGAUGGGAUUAGCUUGUUGGUGAGGUAACGGCUCACCAAGGCGACGAUCCCUAGCUGGUCUGAGAGGAUGACCAGCCACACUGGAACUGAGACACGGUCCAGACUCCUACGGGAGGCAGCAGUGGGGAAUAUUGCACAAUGGGCGCAAGCCUGAUGCAGCCAUGCCGCGUGUAUGAAGAAGGCCUUCGGGUUGUAAAGUACUUUCAGCGGGGAGGAAGGUGUUGCGGUUAAUAACCGCAGCAAUUGACGUUACCCGCAGAAGAAGCACCGGCUAACUCCGUGCCAGCAGCCGCGGUAAUACGGAGGGUGCAAGCGUUAAUCGGAAUUACUGGGCGUAAAGCGCACGCAGGCGGUCUGUCAAGUCGGAUGUGAAAUCCCCGGGCUCAACCUGGGAACUGCAUUCGAAACUGGCAGGCUUGAGUCUUGUAGAGGGGGGUAGAAUUCCAGGUGUAGCGGUGAAAUGCGUAGAGAUCUGGAGGAAUACCGGUGGCGAAGGCGGCCCCCUGGACAAAGACUGACGCUCAGGUGCGAAAGCGUGGGGAGCAAACAGGAUUAGAUACCCUGGUAGUCCACGCCGUAAACGAUGUCUACUUGGAGGUUGUGCCCUUGAGGCGUGGCUUCCGGAGCUAACGCGUUAAGUAGACCGCCUGGGGAGUACGGCCGCAAGGUUAAAACUCAAAUGAAUUGACGGGGGCCCGCACAAGCGGUGGAGCAUGUGGUUUAAUUCGAUGCAACGCGAAGAACCUUACCUGGUCUUGACAUCCACGGAAGUUUUCAGAGAUGAGAAUGUGCCUUCGGGAACCGUGAGACAGGUGCUGCAUGGCUGUCGUCAGCUCGUGUUGUGAAAUGUUGGGUUAAGUCCCGCAACGAGCGCAACCCUUAUCCUUUGUUGCCAGCGAUUAGGUCGGGAACUCAAAGGAGACUGCCAGUGAUAAACUGGAGGAAGGUGGGGAUGACGUCAAGUCAUCAUGGCCCUUACGACCAGGGCUACACACGUGCUACAAUGGCGCAUACAAAGAGAAGCGACCUCGCGAGAGCAAGCGGACCUCAUAAAGUGCGUCGUAGUCCGGAUUGGAGUCUGCAACUCGACUCCAUGAAGUCGGAAUCGCUAGUAAUCGUGGAUCAGAAUGCCACGGUGAAUACGUUCCCGGGCCUUGUACACACCGCCCGUCACACCAUGGGAGUGGGUUGCAAAAGAAGUAGGUAGCUUAACCUUCGGGAGGGCGCUUACCACUUUGUGAUUCAUGACUGGGGUGAAGUCGUAACAAGGUAACCGUAGGGGAACCUGCGGUUGGAUCACCUCCUUACCUGAAAGAA